UCCUGGUUAAGUACUUUUCUCCCCGGGUUAAUGAACUAAAAACAUGGGACGAUUGGAGGGACCAGAAUGAUUGGUUGCUGCCUGUGCGCCUGUGUGUGUGUGUCUUCAUUUUGGCGGGCUGAAAUUGAAGUUUUGUCGACAUGUGCGGUCAGGCAUGGAGAGAGCGACUCUGAUUUACAUGGAAUUGCGAACACAAUCAGCCCUGUAUGACGGAGACACACACACGCGCACGCACACACAGUCCUUUGAUCCACAAGGACCUUGCAAUCACUUAAAAACUGUUCCAUUUUUAAUGGUCCUUGUUCUUGCUUGAGAGAAACGUGAAAACAAUGAUUAAGGAGCCCUUACAACAUGGAAAAAAAUUGAAAUAGAUUUUCCUGACUCUCUGACUGUAACCAAAUCAACUCUGGACUCUCAUGGCAAACAGGCUGCUUAGGCUGCCAGAGUUGGUAGGAAAACAGACUUUAUCUUGACCAGAUAAGAAACACUCCAGAGUCUGAGGAAAUCCCAAAUGGAAGGAAAGCAGGAGCAGUAGCCUAAUUCUACGGCGGAACCUGUUGUUAUCACAGUCGGUCGGCCCCCGGGACAGACAGGGCAGCGGGGAAGAUACAGGAUGCAAUUGAGAGCAGCAUUUGAAAAUCCAAUCGGGAAAUGGCCUAACAAUGGAGUCGGAGGGAAGUCUGUGUGUCCAAGACUUUGGAUUAGUCUUUGUCCUUCAUCAUUUCAUCGUUGAGGAGGUGGAAUCAACGUAAAGGAUUACCUGACACGUGUUUUGAGUUUAUUGAGCUUGAAAUUACAAUGAAUAGAUAUUUUAGCAACGUCUGCUUGGCUUUCCGGAUAGUCCUGUCUCAGCGUUUAUGAACUAACAGCACAAGACCUUUACAUUAACCAGACGCUAUACUCCUACCCCCGGGCUAUUGUGUUGUUCUUUGUGUAAUUUUCCUUCAAAGUAUGACUAAACAUGGACGAAAUAAAAACCAACCUUGCGGAACGUUGCAUCAACGCAGGUUAUUGCGGACGCUGUCUCUAAUCAAUCCCACGUGAGAUCACUUAGCAUAUAAUCCGUAUGUUGGCUGACAUCACCUGGCACCGCAUUGUAGCUAAUCAGAGCGCAGCGCCUUGCACCCGGUGAACUCCAGUGUUUAGUCGCUCGCAAAGAACCGAUCAUCUUGGACCUACAGACCUUAUGCACCUAUAGCGGCAAGAUCGGCUAGUCAGUUAGGAAACUUCCAGGAACCCUCAGGGGAAACCAGGACAGCUCAACGGAAAGGCCUUCGGAAUGAGAUCCAGACAGCCGAUGGAAUGAGACAGUAUGCGUCGAGUUGUUAUGGUUUGCUCAAAGAUUCUAGAAGGUUUACAAACCCCGACUAACCAAUAGGAGGACUUCACAUGAUGUCGCCCACAUUCCAAGCUGCCAUCUUGCUUCUUUUUCCCCUUUAUAAUAAGACUCAGAAACCUGGAGGCCUUCUGGUUAAUCUGACACUAACCUGGAGGCCUUCUGGUUAAUCUGACACUAACCUGGAGGCCUCCUGGUUAAUCU
ensembl:lncRNA